GGCCUUUUGAUUAUAAUUUAAGGUCUGACCUGCCCAAUGAGUUUUUAAAUGGCCGCGGUAUUUUGACCGUGCAAAGGUAGCAUAAUCAUUAGUUUUUUAAUUGAAAGCUGGAAUGAAAGGUCGAAUGAAAAAAUAGCUGUCUCUAUUUAAAUUUUUUAGAAAUUUAUUUUUAAGUUAAAAAGCUUAAAUAUAGUUAGAAGACGAGAAGACCCUAUAGAGUUUUAUUAAUUUCUAUUAUAGGCAUUUUAGUAUUAACUUUUUUAUAAUAAGGAUUAAUUUAAUUGGGGUGAUUGAAAAAUUUAAUAAACUUUUUUUAUAUCUUUACAUUUAUUUAUGAAUAUUUGAUCCUUUUAUGAAGAUUAUAAGAUAAAAUUACCUUAGGGAUAACAGCGUAAUUUUUUUAAAGAGUUCAAAUCGAAAAAAAAGAUUGCGACCUCGAUGUUGGAUUAAAAUAAAAUUUUGGUGUAGAAGCUAAAAUAUUUAGGUCUGUUCGACCUUUAAAAUUUUACA
rnacentral:rRNA from 1 species